GCUCUGUUUCUCUCUCUAUGUUCUGUUUUGUUCAUCUUCUCUCUCUACAGCAUCUAUGCUUCCGCAGCUCUUCCUCCUCUUUAACCACAUCUUGAUGCAACAUAUUCAUCCAAAAAUGAAUAUUAAACACAAGGCCAGUGGAAGCAAGAGCAAGAUGGUGAUAAUCAUGAUCAUGUUGCUUAGAGCUUUAGAGCCUUGAAUAGAUAACCAUAAGUGAUGAUGUACUUGGAUGAAGAAUAUAACUCUGUUUUGUCAUCACUUGAAUUGUGAA